rnacentral:rRNA from 1 species
AGAGUUCGAUUAUGGCUCAGGAUGAACGCUAGCUACAGGCUUAACACAUGCAAGUCGAGGGGCAGCAUGACCUAGCAAUAGGUUGAUGGCGACCGGCGCACGGGUGAGUAACACGUAUCCAACCUACCGGUUAUUCCGGGAUAGCCUUUCGAAAGAAAGAUUAAUACCGGAUAGUAUAACGAGAAGGCAUCUUCUUGUUAUUAAAGAAUUUCGAUAACCGAUGGGGAUGCGUUCCAUUAGUUUGUUGGCGGGGUAACGGCCCACCAAGACAUCGAUGGAUAGGGGUUCUGAGAGGAAGGUCCCCCACAUUGGAACUGAGACACGGUCCAA